UAGCUAAUACCGCAUAAGCUUUGAGAAGGAAAGCAGGGGAUCGCAAGACCUUNCGCUAUUUGAGCGUCCGACGUCUGAUUAGUUAGUUGGUGAGGUAAAGGCUCACCAAGGCAUCGAUCAGUAGCGGGUCUGAGAGGAUGAUCCGCCACACUGGGACUGAGACACGGGCCAGACUCCUACGGGAGGCAGCAGUGGGGAAUUUUGGACAAUGGGCGCAAGCCUGAUCCAGCCAUGCCGCGUGUCUGAAGAAGGCNUUCGGGUUGUAAAGGACUUUUGUCAGGGAGGAAAUCCCUAGCGCUAAUAUCGCUGGGGGAUGACAGUACCUGAAGAAUAAGCACCGGCUAACUACGUGCCAGCAGCCGCGGUAAUACGUAGGGUGCAAGCGUUAAUCGGAAUUACUGGGCGUAAAGCGUGCGCAGGCGGUUGUGUAAGUCUGAUGUGAAAGCCCCGGGCUUAACCUGGGAACUGCAUUGGAGACUGCACAGCUAGAGUGCGUCAGAGGGGGGUAGAAUUCCGCGUGUAGCAGUGAAAUGCGUAGAGAUGCGGAGGAAUACCGAUGGCGAAGGCAGCCCCCUGGGAUGACACUGACGCUCAUGCACGAAAGCGUGGGGAGCAAACAGGAUUAGAUACCCUGGUAGUCCACGCCCUAAACGAUGUCAACUAGCUGUUGGGGGUUUGAAUCCUUGGUAGCGUAGCUAACGCGAGAAGUUGACCGCCUGGGGAGUACGGCCGCAAGGUUAAAACUCAAAGGAAUUGACGGGGACCCGCACAAGCGGUGGAUGAUGUGGAUUAAUUUGAUGCAACGCGAAAAACCUUACCUGGUC
rnacentral:rRNA from 1 species